GACUGGCUGGUAGAGUGGAGAGCUGUAUAGGUCUGAUUUAUACAAGUCAAGGGGCUCAGUCUAAUUUCCAAAAUACGUUACAUAAUGGUAGGAGACAAACUGCACUCUUGGAUAAAAGCAUAAAUGAACUUGAUAAGUUUAAAAAAAACUGAAAUACCCUGUCUGCAAGGAUUUGAGUUACAGCACUUUCAGGAAAGUUACGUGUGAUAUUAAAGGCAGAAUGGUUACAGUUUCUGGAAUAUCAGAAUUAGGUCUGUAGACAGAUCAAUUAAAGGAAAAAAAAAAGAGGUAACCAGUUAAAGUUGGUUGUAAGCAGUAGUCAAAAAUAGCCGGGCGUGGUGGCGCACGCCUUUAAUCCCAGCACUCGGGAGGCAGAGGCAGAGGCAGGUGGAUUUCUGAGUUGGAGGCCAGCCUGGUCUACAGAGUGAGUUCCAGGACAGCCAGGGCUACACAGAGAAACCCUGUCUCGAAAAACCAAAAAAAAAAAAAAAAAAAAAAAAAAAAAGAAAAGAAAUAACUGCAAAUACUCUGGAUCUUUAGAAUUUAUUAGAAGAAAGGAAUUAUUUCCACCUCUAACCCAGACAAUGAAGAGAGAUUAAAAGGCUUUAGAGAUUAGCAGACUUUUAAAAAAGAUCGACUUGGACUAAAGUGUGUAUUCACUGAGUUUAUAGUCACUAGUGGUAACCCUAAAACUGUAAGCAUCCUUUGAGACCUGAGUCUUAAUGACUCAAUAUGCACUGAUUGAUUGUGCUUCUUGAGUUCACAGCAGAACUUCUGGAGACCAGCAGUUUUCAAAUUUCUUGCCGGUGUCUGUAUAGCUUUACUUUGUGGUCUAUAAUUUAUAAAUAUCACUCGAAAACUGUUUUUUUUUUUAGUUGAGAAUCAUUUUGUAACAGAAUUGUCAACUGUUAUAUACCUGAAAUUCUUUGGUACUGUGUGAUGUUUCUGUGUUGUAUGAAGAAAGCUAGAAAUACUACACCCCCAAAUAUGUCCCUUAAGUUUAAAUACUAUAAGAAGCACUAGAGUCAGAAAAACUUCAUGAGAUGGAGAAGAUGGCUUAGUUGGCCAAGUACUUGCUUUGAAAGCAUAAGGACUCCAGUGUGGGCCAUCCAGAAUAUGUGAAAUCCAGUGUGGGUCAUCCAGAACAUGUCAAACCCCCGUUCGGCAGUAUGCCCUUGUAACCCUGUUCCUGGGAAGGUGGAGAUAGGUGGAUUCCUGGGACUUGCUGGCCAGUGUCUCAUCACUUGUUUAAGAACCUAAUCUUUGUUGAAGAUUCUAUGUAUGUCAGAUGUCUAAGCCAUGCUUUGAAUAAUCUUUCACUGAAGCUUCUCUGUGUGAAGUGUACUGUGCAUUAAUAAACUUGCUUGCUUUACUCUUGU
rnacentral:lncRNA from 1 species